CUAAUAAAACUAUUACAUUUAAGUAACAGCAGUGUAUCUCACUAAGAUUACUCUAUUUUCACUGCAUCAGGGCUAAAGAGCAAGGACCCGCAUGAUCAACAGCCAGUAAAAUGAAAAGAUUACUCCAUCUUCUCUGUGGGCCAACAGGGGGUUGCACAGCCCCCUCCAGCCCAGCAGAAUAAGACAACCUCCCCCCGCAAAGAUGUCUCUAUAUUUGCAGCUGGGAAAAAUCGUUUGGCUAA